UUACGCUAAUACCGCAUACGAUCUAAGGAUGAAAGCAGGGGAUCUUCGGACCUUGUGCUCCUGGAGCGGCCGAUAUCUGAUUAGCUAGUUGGUGAGGUAAAGGCUCACCAAGGCCACGAUCAGUAGCUGGUCUGAGAGGACGACCAGCCACACUGGAACUGAGACACGGUCCAGACUCCUACGGGAGGCAGCAGUGGGGAAUUUUGGACAAUGGGCGAAAGCCUGAUCCAGCAAUGCCGCGUGAGUGAAGAAGGCCUUCGGGUUGUAAAGCUCUUUUGUCAGGGAAGAAACGGUGAGGGCUAAUAUCCUUCGCUAAUGACGGUACCUGAAGAAUAAGCACCGGCUAACUACGUGCCAGCAGCCGCGGUAAUACGUAGGGUGCAAGCGUUAAUCGGAAUUACUGGGCGUAAAGCGUGCGCAGGCGGUUUUGUAAGUCUGACGUGAAAUCCCCGGGCUCAACCUGGGAAUUGCGUUGGAGACUGCAAGGCUAGAAUCUGGCAGAGGGGGGUAGAAUUCCACGUGUAGCAGUGAAAUGCGUAGAGAUGUGGAGGAACACCGAUGGCGAAGGCAGCCCCCUGGGUCAAGAUUGACGCUCAUGCACGAAAGCGUGGGGAGCAAACAGGAUUAGAUACCCUGGUAGUCCACGCCCUAAACGAUGUCUACUAGUUGUCGGGUUUUAAUUAACUUGGUAACGCAGCUAACGCGUGAAGUAGACCGCCUGGGGAGUACGGUCGCAAGAUUAAAACUCAAAGGAAUUGACGGGGACCCGCACAAGCGGUGGAUGAUGUGGAUUAAUUCGAUGCAACGCGAAAAACCUUACCUACCCUUGACAUGUACGGAAGGCCGAAGAGAUUUGGCUGUGCUCGAAAGAGAACCGUAACACAGGUGCUGCAUGGCUGUCGUCAGCUCGUGUCGUGAGAUGUUGGGUUAAGUCCCGCAACGAGCGCAACCCUUGUCAUUAGUUGCUACAUUCAGUUGAGCACUCUAAUGAGACUGCCGGUGACAAACCGGAGGAAGGUGGGGAUGACGUCAAGUCCUCAUGGCCCUUAUGGGUAGGGCUUCACACGUCAUACAAUGGUACAUACAGAGGGCCGCCAACCCGCGAGGGGGAGCUAAUCCCAGAAAGUGUAUCGUAGUCCGGAUCGCAGUCUGCAACUCGAAG
rnacentral:rRNA from 1 species